GUUCUGGUGUGAGUUAUAGGUCUGAGAUCGUACAGGAACAGAGAGCUGGGAUUUGUAGUUCUGGUGUGAGUUAUUUGUAGGUACUGUAUGCACGACCUGGACAGGAACAGACACAUGAGGAGGUCUGAGUUGGUGGAGAUGAGACAGGAACAGACACAUGAGGUCUGAGAUGGUAGAGGUGAGACAGGAACAGACACAUGAGGAGGUCUGAGAUGGUAGAGGUGAGACAGGAACAGACACAUGAGGAGGUCUGAGAUGGUAGAGGUGAGACAGGAACAGACACAUGAGGAGGUCUGAGAUGAUAGAGGUGAGACAGGAACAGACACAUGAGGAGGUCUGAGAUGAUAGAGGUGAGACAGGAACAGACACAUGAGGAGGUCUGAGAUGGUAGAGGUGAGACAGGAACAGACACAUGAGGAGGUCUGAGAUGAUAGAGGUGAGACAGGAACAGACACAUGAGGAGGUCUGAGAUGAUAGAGGUGAGACAGGAACAGACACAUGAGGAGGUCUGAGAUGAUAGAGGUGAGACAGGAACAGACACAUGAGGAGGUCUGAGAUGAUAGAGGUGAGACAGGAACAGACACAUGAGGAGGUCUGAGAUGGUAGAGGUGAGACAGGAACAGACACAUGAGGAGGUCUGAGAUGGUAGAGGUGAGACAGGAACAGACACAUGAGGAGGUCUGAGAUGAUAGAGGUGAGACAGGAACAGACACAUGAGGUCUGAGAUGAUAGAGGUGAGACAGGAACAGACACAUGAGGAGGUCUGAGAUGGUAGAGGUGAGACAGGAACAGACACAUGAGGAGGUCUGAGAUGAUAGAGGUGAGACAGGAACAGACACAUGAGGAGGUCUGAGAUGGUAGAGGUGAGACAGGAACAGACACAUGAGGAGGUCUGAGAUGAUAGAGGUGAGACAGGAACAGACACAUGAGGAGGUCUGAGAUGGUAGAGGUGAGACAGGAACAGACACAUGAGGAGGUCUGAGAUGGUAGAGGUGAGACAGGAACAGACACAUGAGGAGGUCUGAGAUGAUAGAGGUGAGGCAGGAACAGACACAUGAGGAGGUCUGAGAUGAUAGAGGUGAGACAGGAACAGACACAUGAGGUCUGAGAUGGUAGAGGUGAGACAGGAACAGACA